AUUCAUCACAAUCAUAGGUUUUAACAAUAUCAAAUUCCUAAUUUCUUCAAUUCCAGUAAAAUCAUCGAAUUUCAUUUCUCACUUUGUUCUCGCAACUCCAAUUUCGUACAGAAAGCGGCGUACCAUUCUCUGGUUUUCUUUUAUUCGUCUGUUUCUCAUUCGUUUUCCGAGAUUUUUCUGUUUGAUUCUCAAGAAAUUUUAAGAAAAUAACCAAAUAAUGUUCUUUUAUUCAAUGUUUUUUUUCUAGAUGGUCCUCAUACAUAAUCGUUCGGGCUUCAUGGAGAUGAUACAUUGAUUUGGAUAAUUUUCUCUUGCAGGUAUCUAUUUUUUAUUUUUCUUUUCAGUGAUUAAACCAAUUUUGUUUGAUGGUGAAUUGACGGAAAUGACCUCGUCUUCUGUGUUCUUAAUCUUUGGUUAGAGUAGUCUCAUAAUCACGUCAUGUAUAAUUGUAUCAUGUAUUACGUGGACUAAUUUUUUAUGUACUAUAAUAGGUUUUGCAUUUGGGUGGAUUAAGUCGGGCACUGAGUUGCUGAUUUAAAUGGCCUUAUGUUGAUAUAAUCCCAAAAUUUAUGUGAUUAUUCUCAUUAUUUAGGAUUUUUUGAUUUUCUGGUAAUUGAUAAGCAAAACCAUGUGAGUGGUAAUGCAAAGUUCCGAAAAGGUAAACCUAUUUCAAUGCCGGAGCAAUUAGCAUCUGUCUUCCCAUAACUAGCUCUACCCGCCUGGAGUUAGAAAGCAAGAUGUUGCUUACUUCUUUCCAAUUUAACUGUAGGUUGUCAGUAGUCUUCAAGGAGAGAAAUGGCCACCCUUCAAGAUAUUGUUUACUCAGCUGCUAUUAAUCUUCUAUCUGCACUUGUAUUUCUACUGGCAUUUGCAAUAUUACGUCUUCAACCCAUUAAUGAUAGAGUUUACUUCCCAAAAUGGUAUCUUAAAGGGAUAAGAGCUAGCCCAAUACACUCUAGGGCAAUCGUAUCCAAAUUUGUAAACAUGGACUUGAAAACAUACAUCCGAUUUUUGAAUUGGAUGCCUGCAGCUUUGAGAAUGCCAGAACCUGAGCUUAUUGAUCACGCAGGGCUUGAUUCUGUGGUCUAUAUUCGGAUUUACCUUAUGGGCUUGAAAAUAUUUGUCCCCAUAACAUUACUUGCUUUUGCGGUUUUGGUGCCUGUCAAUUGGACUGGGGGGACACUGGAGCAAAUCAAGGAUCUUACGUUCAGUAAUAUUGACAAGCUGUCAAUAUCAAAUAUUCCACCUGGAUCCAAAAGGUAUGCCAUAAUUUGUAACCAGUUUCCCUCCAUCUUAAUUUCCUUAUUGAUGGAAUUUGUCUGCUUUCCAUUUCACAAGGAUAGUGAAUUAUUCUUCACUUAUCUUGUGGAAUGAUCAUGUGCCUUGAAUUAUGAAGAAUUGAAAAGUAGAAUGUAUGGAUUUCAAACAAGAAAAAUUGUGUUGGUAACAAAUUUAACCUUUGAAUUUAAGUUCUGUUGUGUUGCAGUGCUUCUGGACUUUAACUGCUAUAAUGCUCAGAAUAGAUUGAAGUUUUUUUGACUCGUGAAGAUGCAACCCGCAGUGGGAAUAUAAACUUUCUUCAAAAAAUAAGCGUGAAAUUUUUAUUAGAUAGAACAUCAACAGUCUCUAAAGGUUUCUUUGAAGUAGUUUCAAGUAAAUAUCAUGGAGUCAGCUGCUAGAAUGUUGGUUUUGACUCAAAUUAUACUAGCAAUAAUUUUAAAUUAUUAAUUGUACCAAUAUAUUUAGUUUUGGAAGGUUGAUUUAUUAUUAGUCUCAAUUUGCGGAGACAUGCUCCAUUCUAAUAGAAUCCUACAUGCCUUUCAAGGUUUUGUGCACAUGUUUUAAUGUCAUAUAUCUUCACCUUUUGGACAUUCUAUGUUAUCUACAAAGAGUACAAGACAACAGCUUUUAUGCGCUUGCAAUUUUUAGCUUCCGAAAGUCGUCGUCCUGACCAAUUCACUGUUCUUGUGAGAAAUGUUCCUCCAGAUCCUGAUGAAUCAGUCACCGAGCAUGUUGAGCAUUUCUUUUGUGUAAAUCAUCCUGAUCAUUAUCUUACUCAUCAGGUGGUGUACAAUGCAAAUAAGCUUGCAAACUUGGUUGCAAAGAAGAAGAGUCUGCAAAAUUGGUUGACAUACCACCAGAAUAAAUACGAGAGAAAUCCUUCUAGCAAGCCUACUACAAAGACAGGCUUCUGGGGUCUCUGGGGAACUAGGGUGGAUGCAAUUGACUACUAUACUGCGGAGAUUGGAAAACUUAGUGAAGAAGAAGAUAAAGAGAGAGAAAGGGUUAUAAAUGAUCCUAAUGCUGUAGUUCCAGCAGCAUUUGUUUCAUUCAAAUCUCGAUGGGGAGCAGCUGUCUGUGCCCAAACUCAGCAAACAAGUAACCCAACGAUUUGGUUGACUGAAAGGGCUCCUGAGCCCCGUGAUGUUUAUUGGGAUAAUCUUGCAAUACCAUACUUUGAACUCACUAUUCGACGACUACUUGUGGCAGUUGGUCUUUUUUUCCUAAUUUUCUUUUUCAUGCUUCCUAUAGCAUUUGUUCAGUCCCUGGCCAGCAUUGAGGGAAUAGAGAAGGUUUUUCCUUUCUUGAAACCUGUAAUAGAAAUGAAAUUUAUUAAGUCUUUAGUCCAAGGAAUUCUUCCAGGCAUUGCUCUGAAGAUAUUCCUUAUUGUACUUCCAAUAAUACUCAUUAUUAUGUCCAAAAUAGAAGGAUUUACAUCACUCUCAUCUUUGGAUAGGCGAUCAGCUGUGAAGUAUCAUUUGUUUCUACUUGUUAAUGUGUUUGUUGGCAGCAUUGUAACAGGAACAGCAAUGGAUCAGCUUAAAACUUUUCUUAAUCAGUCUGCAACAGAGAUUCCGAAAACCAUUGGAGUGUCAAUCCCACUAAAAGCCACCUUCUUCAUCACUUAUAUAAUGGUUGAUGGAUGGUCGGCAAUUGCAGCAGAGAUCCUCAGACUGGUACCCUUAGUCAUGUUCCAUUUGAAGAACACAUUUCUAGUUAAGACAGAGCAAGACAGGGAUCAAGCAAUGGAUCCUGGUUGCGUGGACUUUGCAACAUCUGAACCUCGAAUACAGUUUUAUUUCUUGCUGGGACUUGUUUAUGCUGCUGUGACACCCUUACUUCUUCCUUUCAUCAUCGUGUUCUUUGCUUUUUCUUAUACGGUAUUUCGUCAUCAGAUUAUUAAUGUAUAUAACCAAAAAUAUGAGAGUGGAGCUGCAUUCUGGCCAGAUGUCCAUCGGCGUUUGAUAAUUGGAUUGAUAAUAGCUCAACUUCUUUUGUUGGGAUUGAUGAGCACAAAGGAAGCUAGGGAAUUAACUCCGCUGCUUGUCGCACUUCCUAUUCUGACGAUUUGGUUUCAUGUAUUCUGCAAAGGACGUUUUGAAUCUGCAUUUGUAAAAUUCCCACUACAGGAUGCAAUGGUAAGGGAUACACUUGAACGAGCUACAGAUCCAAACCUAAACUUGAAAAUGUAUCUUCAGGAUGCAUACAUACACCCAGUUUUCAGGGGUGGUGAACUGGAGAGACCAGAGAUCAUCGAUGAAGAAGAAGACAAUCCGCUUGUUCCAACAACAAGGAAUUCUCAAAAGAGUCAAAGUAAAUAUAGUUCUGAUGUCAGUUCUGGAGCUGGUUCGUAAGACUAGGGUAAUAUUCUAAAAGUUACUCAAUUUUAAUUUGCUUUUUUGAAUCCAGUGCAUUUAUAUAUGCAUGUGCUUUUAGUUAAUGUGGAAGCAUUAAGCAAGAGGCUACGAGUCAUUUGCCAGAGACUCGCAUAAAUUGAAGACGUGAUAUGUAUAGCUUACUCUGCUUUUUAUGGAAAUUCUUUGGGUAGAAAAUUUGUUCACCUAGUGAUUGUAUGUGAAUAAUCAAAUUAAAUAUGUCACAUGCAAGAUCAUCUACCACAGGGCUUAUGGCUUGGAUGAACUGAAAUUGCUGUAAGAAUAAUAGGUCAGGUUUCGUUCCUGAGUUUUCAAAUGAAUUAAGAUUAAUGUCAUUUUAUGUGUUGAUCCUUAG
rnacentral:misc_RNA from 1 species